rnacentral:rRNA from 1 species
AUUGAACGCUGGCGGCAUGCUUUACACAUGCAAGUCGAACGGCAGCGCGGGCUUCGGCCUGGCGGCGAGUGGCGAACGGGUGAGUAAUGCAUCGGAACGUGCCCAGUAGUGGGGGAUAGGCCGGCGAAAGCCGGAUUAAUCCCGCAUACGACCUGGGGGUGGAAGCGGGGGACCGGAAAGCCUCGCGCCAUUGGAGCGGCCGAUGUCGGAUUAGCUAGUUGGUGGGGUAAAGGCUUACCAAGGCGACGAUCCGUAGCUGGUCUGAGAGGACGACCAGCCACACUGGGACUGAGACACGGCCCAGACUCCUACGGGAGGCAGCAGUGGGGAAUUUUGGACAAUGGGGGCAACCCUGAUCCAGCCAUGCCGCGUGCGGGAAGAAGGCCUUCGGGUUGUAAACCGCUUUUGUUCGGGAAGAAAUCCUCUGGGCUAAUACCCCGGGGGGAUGACGGUACCGGAAGAAUAAGCACCGGCUAACUACGUG